CUUCAUAGCUGCCAUGAUAUAGUUUUACGAAGAAGCUACUUGGGAAGUUGGGGCUUUAGUAUUGUUGGUGGAUAUGAAGAGAACCACACCAAUCAGCCUUUCUUCAUUAAAACUAUUGUCUUGGGAACUCCUGCUUAUUAUGAUGGAAGAUUAAAGUGUGGAGACAUGAUUGUGGCUGUAAAUGGCCUGUCAACAGUGGGCAUGAGCCAUUCUGCAUUAGUUCCAAUGUUGAAGGAGCAGAGGAACAAAGUCACUCUGACAGUUAUUUGUUGGCCUGGCAGUCUUGUGUAGAUUUUUGAAAUUGGUUUUGAAUCUCGCAUCUUUCUUUUUUGGGUUUUUGAAAGAAAAUCCUUUGGUUUCAUUGUGUUUCUGGUUGUUAGGAGCUACUGACACACAGCUGGUAUACACAGGGCCAAAAACCACUAAAAUUGUUCUUUUGUUUUUAUUUAAAUGGUUUCCUAUUAGCUACAUUUCUUUUAGCUUGGAAAUAGUCUUCCACUAACCAUUGUGAGUUUAUAUUUUCAGAAUUCAGACUCUCAGUUGUCAAAAUGCUACCUAUAAUAAUGAAUGCAACCCACCCAAACUGUGACCCAACCAGGUGGAUUAAAGAACUUCUGGUCAUUAUUUUCAGUAACUGCAUCAUAAAAUGAGUUACGUAUCCCCCAAGACUGGUGUCAGUGAAGUCAGUCACAAUAGCAUCUACUGCCACCAUCAAGCCAAUGCCACGAAUAGAUAGAUUUUAAAUUGGGGUGGUUAUUGUCCCCAUUUUUCAUUGGUGCCAACAUUUCAAAACUUCAUACCGUUUAUGAAGUGAUUUUCUGGUUUUUUUUUUCUACUGCAAACUCUCAGUGCUCAUAGAUAAUGAAGACAUAAGUCUGACACCACUGAAGAGAUUUUUUAAAAAUAAUGUACUGUUAUUAGAAUAGUAGAGAAUAAAAGGUGAUGUUAUCCAAUGACAAAGGGAUUUGGAAGAUAAUUAUAGUUUAGUGCUAGAGAUGGGAAAAGAUCGUUGACUUGAACAGUCUAAAAGCAUUAAAGGUUCAUUUCCAAAGGAGUGUUUUGUUCUAUAGGAAAAUUUUGAAGCAGAUUUUGCUAAAAAUCAUUUCUAGACUUUGUAUCAUACUUAUCAGCUGAUUUAUACAAUUAAACUAGAUAAUAAAGAUAAAACCAUAUUGCUGUUAAAUAAACACACAUAUAUCACCCUAAGUAGGAGAAGGGAGACCACCUUAUUUUAUUUUUAUUUGAUUCAGAUAAGAGUCCUUGAGUGUUUAGAAACCCUUAUUUUUCCCAUUAUUUCUUAUGAACUUGUUUCCAGUAAGAGACUGAAAAGUUCUGGUUUUUAUCUGUAGUCGUAGAUUUUAGAUGUUAAUAUCUGUCAGUCAGCUCUUGGUCACUAAGCUAUUUCAUAUAUUUUGAAAUGUUAUUCAAAACUAUGACUAACCCAUUUUGUUUGUCCUUUAUUCAACAUGGUUGUCCUUUGGAGAGCUCAAAGAAGUGAAUAAGAGAAAAAUGUCUUUACCUUCUUCACAUUAAGAUACUUGAAAAGUUUCAUUUGGAACCCUAGUUUAGAAUCUGAACUAAUUUACAAGUGACCUCCAUAAUAAAUGGUUCCAUAAUAAAUGGUAUUGAUACUCAGAGAAUGUAUUUCACAAUACUACAGUAUAUUAUGAAGCAUGACCACUUUAUUUUCAAACUUAGCAAUUGCAUUGCUGGGAUUUAUUGUAUCUGUCGCAUGUCACUGAUUAUUCCAGUUAGUUUUAUAAUGAUUUUAUUAAACCUGUCUCUUUGGAAUAAAUAAGAAAUGGCAACAGUAAUUGCUGCUGACUCAUUCAACCCCUUAGCUACACUGUAUGGUCAACAUCUAACCAAGAUACAGUGGAAUGUCCCACACAGUAUAUUACUGUUAUGUGAUGAUUGGCUUCUGAAGCAACUUGAUAUUCUAAUUGACAUGGAACAAGUUUUUUUUUUUUUCUUCUGCUCCCCAAAUAGAAUUUUAUAACCGACUUUGCUAUUUUUUUAAACAGUUUGUAAGAAUGUGUCAUUUCUUGGGGAGUGGUCAUCCAUCAACAAAUAUCUUACCUGCUACUUUGUUAUAUGUAAAAUACUUACAUUGAGCCCAGUGGGUAUAAUGAGUAUUUUGAAAGAAGAAAUUUUUUCAAUAUUAUUUUUAUCAUCGAAAUCUUGGAAUCAGCUUAAGCUAUAGGUUUUAUUAUAAAAGACUAAGCUUUUUGGUCAGAAUGAUAUUUGGUGAUGGAAACUUGUUCAUAAUUUAUUACUGUUGAAAUAUUUGGAUUUUCUCAUUUAACCCCUUAUAAUUAAAUAUUUGAUUUGUUCUGUGCCUUCAUUUUAAAGUACUUCAGGGUUUUUCAGAUGUGUUUAAAUAAUGGUGUGAUAAUCAUUCAGGAUGGAAAUAAAAGUCAUCCUUUCCACAAUA